rnacentral:rRNA from 1 species
UUUAUGGAGAGUUUGAUCCUGGCUCAGAGUGAACGCUGGCGGCGUGCCUAAUACAUGCAAGUCGAACGAUGAAGCUUCUAGCUUGCUAGAAUGCUGAUUAGUGGCGCACGGGUGAGUAACGCAUAGGUUAUGUGCCUCUUAGUUUGGGAUAGCCAUUGGAAACGAUGAUUAAUACCAGAUACUCCCUACGGGGGAAAGAUUUAUCGCUAAGAGAUCAGCCUAUGUCCUAUCAGCUUGUUGGUAAGGUAAUGGCUUACCAAGGCUAUGACGGGUAUCCGGCCUGAGAGGGUGAACGGACACACUGGAACUGAGACACGGUCCAGACUCCUACGGGAGGCAGCAGUAGGGAAUAUUGCUCAAUGGGGGAAACCCUGAAGCAGCAACGCCGCGUGGAGGAUGAAGGUUUUAGGAUUGUAAACUCCUUUUGUUAGAGAAGAUAAUGACGGUAUCUAACGAAUAAGCACCGGCUAACUCCGUGCCAGCAGCCGCGGUAAUACGGAGGGUGCAAGCGUUACUCGGAAUCACUGGGCGUAAAGAGCGCGUAGGCGGGAUAGUCAGUCAGGUGUGAAAUCCUAUGGCUUAACCAUAGAACUGCAUUUGAAACUACUAUUCUAGAGUGUGGGAGAGGUAGGUGGAAUUCUUGGUGUAGGGGUAAAAUCCGUAGAGAUCAAGAGGAAUACUCAUUGCGAAGGCGACCUGCUGGAACAUUACUGACGCUGAUUGCGCGAAAGCGUGGGGAGCAAACAGGAUUAGAUACCCUGGUAGUCCACGCCCUAAACGAUGGAUGCUAGUUGUUGGAGGGCUUAGUCUCUCCAGUAAUGCAGCUAACGCAUUAAGCAUCCCGCCUGGGGAGUACGGUCGCAAGAUUAAAACUCAAAGGAAUAGACGGGGACCCGCACAAGCGGUGGAGCAUGUGGUUUAAUUCGAAGAUACACGAAGAACCUUACCUAGGCUUGACAUUGAGAGAAUCCUCUAGAAAUAGUGGAGUGUCUGGCUUGCCAGACCUUGAAAACAGGUGCUGCACGGCUGUCGUCAGCUCGUGUCGUGAGAUGUUGGGUUAAGUCCCGCAACGAGCGCAACCCCCUUUCUUAGUUGCUAACAGGUUAUGCUGAGAACUCUAAGGAUACUGCCUCCGUAAGGAGGAGGAAGGUGGGGACGACGUCAAGUCAUCAUGGCCCUUACGCCUAGGGCUACACACGUGCUACAAUGGGGUGCACAAAGAGAAGCAAUACUGCGAAGUGGAGCCAAUCUUCAAAACAUCUCUCAGUUCGGAUUGUAGGCUGCAACUCGCCUGCAUGAAGCUGGAAUCGCUAGUAAUCGCAAAUCAGCCAUGUUGCGGUGAAUACGUUCCCGGGUCUUGUACUCACCGCCCGUCACACCAUGGGAGUUGUGUUUGCCUUAAGUCAGGAUGCUAAAUUGGCUACUGCCCACGGCACACACAGCGACUGGGGUGAAGUCGUAACAAGGUAACCGUAGGUGAACCUGCGGUUGGAUCACCUCCUUUCUA